rnacentral:rRNA from 1 species
AAAUUGAAGAGUUUGAUCAUGGCUCAGAUUGAACGCUGGCGGCAGGCCUAACACAUGCAAGUCGAACGGUAACAGGAAGAAGCUUGCUUCUUUGCUGACGAGUGGCGGACGGGUGAGUAAUGUCUGGGAAACUGCCUGAUGGAGGGGGAUAACUACUGGAAACGGUAGCUAAUACCGCAUAACGUCGCAAGACCAAAGAGGGGGACCUUCGGGCCUCUUGCCAUCGGAUGUGCCCAGAUGGGAUUAGCUAGUAGGUGGGGUAACGGCUCACCUAGGCGACGAUCCCUAGCUGGUCUGAGAGGAUGACCAGCCACACUGGAACUGAGACACGGUCCAGACUCCUACGGGAGGCAGCAGUGGGGAAUAUUGCACAAUGGGCGCAAGUCUGAUGCAGCCAUGCCGCGUGUAUGAAGAAGGCCUUCGGGUUGUAAAGUACUUUCAGCGGGGAGGAAGGGAGUAAAGUUAAUACCUUU